UACCCAACUGUUCGCGGACGGGUAGCAUUUAUUAGAUUGAAACCUUCUCGGCUUGCCGAAGUUGUGUUGAGUCAUAAUAACUGUGCGGAUCGCAUUUAAUGCGAUGAAUCAAUUGAGUUUCUGCCCUAUCAGCUUUGGAUGGUAAGAUAUGGGCUUACCAUGGCAUUAACGGGUAACGGGGAAUUAGGGUUUGAUUCCGGAGAGGGAGCCUUAGAAACGGCUACCACAUCCAAGGAAGGCAGCAGGCGCGUAAAUUACCCAAUAUCAAUUCGAUGAGGUAGUGACAAUAAAUAACAAUGCCGGGCUUUUUCAAGUCUGGCAAUUGGAAUGAGAACAAUUUAAAUCCCUUAACGAGGAUCAAUUGGAGGGCAAGUCUGGUGCCAGCAGCCGCGGUAAUUCCAGCUCCAAUAGCGUAUAUUAAAGUUGUUGCAGUUAAAAAGCUCGUAGUUGGAUUUCUGUUUUUAAUUACCGGUCCGUUCAUGUAUUUGAAUGUGUACUAUGGUUAUUGAAUUCAUUUUUGCGAGGAUCCUUAUCUAGCAUUAAGUUGUUGGGUUUGUGUACUUGCAUCUUUUACUGUGAAAAAAUUAGAGUGUUUAAAGCAGGCGUUCGCCUAUUGAAUACAUUAGCAUGGAAUAAUAAGAUACGACUUGUGUUGUCUAUUUUGUUGGUUUGCACACGCGAGUAAUGAUUAAUAGGGACAGUUGGGGGUAUUCAUAUUUCAGCGUCAGAGGUGAAAUUCUUGGAUCGCUGAAAGAUGAGCUUAGGCGAAAGCAUUUACCAUGGAUGUUUUCAUUAAUCAAGAACGAAAGUUAGGGGAUCGAAGAUGAUUAGAUACCAUCGUAGUCUUAACCAUAAACUAUGCCGACUCGGGAUUGGCAGUCGUUAUUAAUGACCUUGUCAGCACCGUAUGAGAAAUCAAAGUCUUUGGGUUCCGGGGGGAGUAUGGUCGCAAGGCUGAAACUUAAAGGAAUUGACGGAAGGGCACCACCAGGAGUGGAGCCUGC
rnacentral:rRNA from 1 species